rnacentral:rRNA from 1 species
CAGUCGCCGCGGUAAUACGAAGGGUGCAAGCGUUACUCGGAAUUACUGGGCGUAAAGCGUGCGUAGGUGGUGGUUUAAGUCUGUUGUGAAAGCCCUGGGCUCAACCUGGGAAUUGCAGUGGAUACUGGGUGACUAGAGUGUGGUAGAGGAUAGUGGAAUUUCCGGUGUAGCAGUGAAAUGCGUAGAGAUCGGAAGGAACAUCUGUGGCGAAGGCGACUAUCUGGGCCAACACUGACACUGAGGCACGAAAGCGUGGGGAGCAAACAGGAUUAGAUACCCCCGUAGUCCCUGUCUCUUAUAC